AAAUUGAAGAGUUUGAUCAUGGCUCAGAUUGAACGCUGGCGGCAGGCCUAACACAUGCAAGUCGAACGGUAACAGGAAGCAGCUUGCUGCUUCGCUGACGAGUGGCGGACGGGUGAGUAAUGUCUGGGAAACUGCCUGAUGGAGGGGGAUAACUACUGGAAACGGUGGCUAAUACCGCAUAACGUCGCAAGACCAAAGAGGGGGACCUUCGGGCCUCUUGCCAUCAGAUGUGCCCAGAUGGGAUUAGCUAGUUGGUGAGGUAACGGCUCACCAAGGCGACGAUCCCUAGCUGGUCUGAGAGGAUGACCAGCCACACUGGAACUGAGACACGGUCCAGACUCCUACGGGAGGCAGCAGUGGGGAAUAUUGCACAAUGGGCGCAAGCCUGAUGCAGCCAUGCCGCGUGUAUGAAGAAGGCCUUCGGGUUGUAAAGUACUUUCAGCGGGGAGGAAGGUGUUGUGGUUAAUAACCGCAGCAAUUGACGUUACCCGCAGAAGAAGCACCGGCUAACUCCGUGCCAGCAGCCGCGGUAAUACGGAGGGUGCAAGCGUUAAUCGGAAUUACUGGGCGUAAAGCGCACGCAGGCGGUCUGUCAAGUCGGAUGUGAAAUCCCCGGGCUCAACCUGGGAACUGCAUUCGAAACUGGCAGGCUUGAGUCUUGUAGAGGGGGGUAGAAUUCCAGGUGUAGCGGUGAAAUGCGUAGAGAUCUGGAGGAAUACCGGUGGCGAAGGCGGCCCCCUGGACAAAGACUGACGCUCAGGUGCGAAAGCGUGGGGAGCAAACAGGAUUAGAUACCCUGGUAGUCCACGCCGUAAACGAUGUCUACUUGGAGGUUGUGCCCUUGAGGCGUGGCUUCCGGAGCUAACGCGUUAAGUAGACCGCCUGGGGAGUACGGCCGCAAGGUUAAAACUCAAAUGAAUUGACGGGGGCCCGCACAAGCGGUGGAGCAUGUGGUUUAAUUCGAUGCAACGCGAAGAACCUUACCUGGUCUUGACAUCCACGGAAGUUUUCAGAGAUGAGAAUGUGCCUUCGGGAACCGUGAGACAGGUGCUGCAUGGCUGUC
rnacentral:rRNA from 1 species